rnacentral:rRNA from 1 species
UACGUAGGGUCCGAGCGUUGUCCGGAAUCAUUGGGCGUAAAGAGCGUGUAGGCGGUCCGGUAAGUCCGCUGUGAAAGUCGGGGGCUCAACCCUCGAAUGCCGGUGGAUACUGUCGGGCUAGAGUGCGGAAGAGGCGAGUGGAAUUCCUGGUGUAGCGGUGAAAUGCGCAGAUAUCAGGAGGAACACCUAUUGCGAAGGCAGCUCGCUGGGACGUAACUGACGCUGAGACGCGAAAGCGUGGGGAGCAAACAGG